AUUGAACGCUGGCGGCAGGCUUAACACAUGCAAGUCGAGGGGUAGAGGUUGCUUGCAACCUUGAGACCGGCGCACGGGUGCGUAACGCGUAUGCAACCUACCUUUUACAGAGGGAUAGCCCAGAGAAAUUUGGAUUAAUACCUCAUAGUAUAUAACCUUCGCAUGUUGGUUAUAUUAAAGUUCCAACGGUAAAAGAUGGGCAUGCGUCCUAUUAGCUAGAUGGUAAGGUAACGGCUUACCAUGGCUACGAUAGGUAGGGGUACUGAGAGGGGGAUCCCCCACACUGGUACUGAGACACGGACCAGACUCCUACGGGAGGCAGCAGUGAGGAAUAUUGGACAAUGGGCGCAAGCCUGAUCCAGCCAUGCCGCGUGCAGGAAGAAGCAUCUAUGGUGUGUAAACUGCUUUUGUACGGGAAGAAACACUCCUUCGUGAAGGAGCUUGACGGUACCGUAAGAAUAAGGAUCGGCUAACUCCGUGCCAGCCGCCGCAGUAAGAC
rnacentral:rRNA from 1 species